GAGGUUGUGGCUUAGUGGUUGAGUGUUUGCCUAGCAUGUAUGAGGCACUGGGUUCGAUUCUCAGCACCACA
rnacentral:tRNA from 1 species